UCUCAUGGAUGAACAAAGAAAGUGGGUUUCUGAGAUGAAAUCUAUUCCUGGUGAAGAUACUGUGAA
rnacentral:pre_miRNA from 1 species